rnacentral:rRNA from 1 species
UACCAGCUCUCCGAGUGGUGUGGAUGUUUAUUGGGCCUAAAGCAUCCGUAGCUGGCUGGACAAGUCCCCUGUUAAAUCCACCGAUUUAAUCGUUGGAGUGCGGGGGAUACUGUUCGGCUAGGGGACGGGAGAGGCAGACGGUAUUUUCGGGGUAGGGGUGAAAUCCUAUAAUCCCGGGAAGACCACCAGUGGCGAAGGCUGUCUGCUAGAACGCGCCCGACGGUGAGGGAUGAAAGCGUGGGGGAGCGAACCGGAUUAGAUACCCGGGUAGUCCCAGCUGUAAACGAUGCAGGCUAGGUGUUUGGACGGCCACGUGCCGUUCUAGUGCCGCGAGGGAAGCCGUUAAGCCUGCCGCCGUGGGGAGUACGGCCGCAAGGCUAGAAACUUAAAGGAAGUUGGGCGGGGGAGCACCACGAAGGGGUGAAGCUUGCGGUUU